AAAGUCCCCUUCGGGGGGCGAGUAGAGUGGCGCACGGGUGAGUAACACGUAGGUAAUCUACCUCUGGGUGGGGAAUAACAGCCGGAAACGGCUGCUAAUACCGCAUAAUGCAGCGGCACCACAUGGUGACAGUUGUUAAAGCGGGGGAUCGUAAGACCUCGCGCCUAGAGAUGAGCCUGCGGCGGGUUAGCUAGUUGGCAGGGUAACGGCCUACCAAGGCGACGAUCCGUAGCCGGCCUGAGAGGGCGGACGGCCACACUGGCACUGACAUACGGGCCAGACUCCUACGGGAGGCAGCAGUCGGGAAUUUUGGGCAAUGGGCGAAAGCCUGACCCAGCAACGCCGCGUGAAGGAUGAAGCUUUUCGGAGUGUAAACUUCAUAAGAAUGGGACGAAUAAGGAGGGGUUAACACCCCCUUUGAUGACGGUACCAUUUGUAAGCUCCGGCUAACUCCGUGCCAGCAGCCGCGGUAAUACGGGGGGAGCAAGCGUUGUUCGGAUUUACUGGGCGUAAAGGGCGCGUAGGCGGCGCAACAAGUCACUUGUGAAAUCUCCGGGCUUAACCCGGAGCGGCCAAGUGAUACUGUCGUGCUAGAGUGCGGAAGGGGCUACUGGAAUUCUCGGUGUAGCGGUGAAAUGCGUAGAUAUCGAGAGGAACACCUGCGGCGAAGGCGGGUAGCUGGGCCGACACUGACGCUGAGGCGCGAAAGCCAGGGGAGCGAACGGGGAUUAGAUACCCCGGUAGUCCUGGCCUUAAACGAUGGAUACUUGGUGUCCGGGGUUACAUAGUCCCGGGUGCCCGGCGCUAACGCAUUAAGUAU
rnacentral:rRNA from 1 species